AGCAGCCGCGGUAAUUCCAGCUCCAAUAGCGUAUAUUAAAGUUGUUGCAGUUAAAAAGCUCGUAGUUGAAUUUCGGGGUUAGUAGGUUGGUCGUGCCAAUGGUAUGCACUGGCUUUACUGAUUCCUCCUUCUUGAAGAACUGUAAUGCCAUUAAUUUGGUGUUGCAGGGAAUCAGGACUGUUACUUUGAAAAAAUUAGAGUGUUUAAAGCAGGCUUACGCUUGAAUACAUUAGCAUGGAAUAAUGAAAUAGGACGUUGAUCCUAUUUUGUUGGUUUCUAGGAUUGACGUAAUGAUUAAUAGGGAUAGUUGGGGGCAUUAGUAUUCAAUUGUCAGAGGUGAAAUUCUUGGAUUUAUUGAAGACUAACUACUGCGAAAGCAUUUGCCAAGGAUGUUUUCAUUAAUCAAGAACGAAGUUAGGGGAUCGAAGACGAUCAGAUACCGUCGUAGUC
rnacentral:rRNA from 1 species